rnacentral:tRNA from 1 species
AGGGAUGUCGCUCAGUGGUAGAGUGCUUGCCUAGCAUGCAAGAGGCCCUGGGUUCAAUUCCCAAUACCAUGA